AUGGCGACCCCGAGCUCGCACCUUCCGCCCUGGCUGCGCCACCGUGCUCAAGUUGGCGACUAUGGCAUCGAGGGCAUCACCUCUGAGGCUAACCAUUGGCCAUGCCCGGAGCCGAGCAGCUGCGAGCUCCAGCCCAAGUUCCAAGCUAGAAUCGCGGCGAUGGCACGGUCGGAGCUGGUCAUGGCGUUGCUGGUGGUGGUCCUCGCCGGCGGCUGCUGCGCGUCGGCGGGCGCCGUGGCGUACCUCUCCAAGCUGCCUGUGAUCCUCGACGUCACCGCAUCCCCCAGUCCCGGCCAAGUUCUUCACGCCGGCGAGGACGUGAUCACGGUGACUUGGGCCCUGAACGCGAGCCAGCCGGCCGGCAAGGACGCCGACUACAAGAACGUGAAGGUGAGCCUCUGCUACGCGCCGGUGAGCCAGAAGGAGCGCGAGUGGCGCAAGACCCACGACGACCUCAAGAAGGACAAGACCUGCCAGUUCAAGGUCACCCAGCAGGCCUACCCCGGCACCGGCAAGGUCGAGUACCGCGUCGCCCUCGACAUCCCCACCGCCACCUACUAUGUGCGUGCCUACGCGCUCGACGCCUCCGGCACGCAGGUCGCCUACGGCCAGACCGCGCCCGCCGCCGCCUUCAACAUCGUCAGCAUCACCGGCGUCACCACCUCCAUCAAGGUCGCCGCCGGCGUCUUCUCCGCCUUCUCCGUCGCGUCGCUCGCCUUCUUCUUCUUCAUUGAGAAACGCAAGAAGAACAACUAA
rnacentral:rRNA from 1 species